CAGAGUUGAAUCUCUAAAGAAACAAGUAUUUCACUGUGAACUCCAUGAGAGGUCAAAGGUCAUUCCAGAGGUCACAGGUCAUCAAAACUUAUUAAAAUGCUUUGAGAAAUACAUGAUCAUUUAGAAACUCACAGUUCAGAUGUGUGAUGAUCAGUACAGAGUCUUUCUGAUUAUAUUAUUUAUUCAGAUUUAAUAGUUUUCAUGCAUCAAGAGACAUUUAGAGAUGAUGAGGCUGUUUCUGUGAAAGUCACUUCAGUCCAAUAAUCAUUAUUUAAUGUUGAGAAGAGCUGCUGUUGAGUCUCAUAUCAGUGUGUGUGAGUGUCGUUCGUCUCUUUCUCUGCUGGAGUUUGUGUUCAUUUGAGUGUGACGGAGGUUUUUGUACGACGCUUUCACUAGAAUGAAGCACUGUGGAGGACUUUCGGUGGAGGAACUGAACUGGUGAUCAGAACUGGUCCCGCAGUGAAGCCCUCCGUGUCUCUGCUGCCGCCCUCUUCUCUGCAGAUCUCUGGAGACUCAGCCGCACUGCUCUGCCUGCUCAGCUCUUACUCUCCACAGGGGGCGACGGUGAGCUGGACGCUGGACGGGUCAGAGGUCACCGAGGGGGUUCAGACCAGCGCAGAGAGCGAGCGGGACGGACGCUACAGCCGCAGCAGCGUCCUGAGCCUCAGCAAAGCACGCUGGGAAGGCGCGGAUCGCUUCGUCUGCAGAGUAAGACAUGACGGAGCUGAUCACGAGGCCUCGUUCCUCAAGAGCUCCCAGUGCUGAUGUUUCUCCGGUCCAGACGAGCCGUAUCUGAGCGUCCGGCAGGAUUCACAGCAGUCACGUGAUUUACAGCUCAAUACUGAAGCAGUCUUUCAAUGUGCUGCCAUUGCUGUUCAUUCAAUAAAGCUUCUGAACGCGUUA